AUCAUUACAUUAAAGUAUAAUAAUUUAAGGUUUUAAAAUUUAUUUAAAUUAAUUUACAUAUGAAUUUUAGUGUUAAUUUAAUUAUAUUUAAAUAAUAUUUUGAUUAAAUAAGUAGUAAUUAAUUUUAAUAUAUUUAAGAAAUUAAGAUUUAGUAAUAUAGAAAUUAUUAACAAAUUUUGUGCCAGCAGUUGCGGUUAAACAAAAAUUAAAUUAAAUUUUAUUAGUAAUUAAUUAAUAAAUUAGUUAUAUAAAUUAUAAAAAUUAAAUUAUUAGGUGAAAUUUUAAUUUAUUAAAAUAUUAUAUUAAUUUUAUGAUUUAAUAAAUUAUAUAAAAACUAGGAUUAGAUACCCUAUUAUUAUAAAUUAAAGUUAAAGUACUAAAAUAAUAGGUAAUUAUUUAUUGAAACUUAAUUAAGUUGGCGGUAUUUUAGUUCAUUUAGAGGAAUCUGUUUAAUAAUUGAUAAUCCACGAUUAAAUUUACUUAAUUUUUAAUUUUGUAUAUCGUUGUUAAAAAAAUAUUUUAUUAAGAAUAAUAAUAUUUAAAAUUUUAAUUAAAAAAUUAAAUCAGAUCAAGAUGCAGAUUAUAAUUAAGAAUAUAAUGGAUUACAAUAAAUUUAUUUAAAUGAAUAUUAAUUUGAAAUAAUUAAUUGAAGGUGGAUUUAAAUGUAAUUUUAUUUAUUAUAAUAAAAUGAUUAAAAAUUGAAGUAUGUACAUAUUGCCCGUCGCUUUCAUAUACAUUAAUAUAUUAAUUUUAAUAUUAAAUUGAAAUAAGUCGUAACAAAGUAGAGGUACUGGAAAGUGUUUCUAGAAAGA
rnacentral:ncRNA from 1 species